rnacentral:sRNA from 1 species
GCCGGAUAUGGUGGCACAUGCUUGUAAUCCCAGUGAUUUAGGAGGCUGAGGCAGGAGGAUUGCAUGUUCAAGGCCAGCCUUAACAACUUAGUGAUACCCUGUCUCAA